UACGAAGGGGGCUAGCGUUGUUCGGAUUUACUGGGCGUAAAGCGCACGUAGGCGGAUUGGUCAGUUAGAGGUGAAAUCCCGAAGCUCAACUUCGGAACUGCCUUUAAUACUGCCAAUCUAGAGUCCGGAAGAGGUAAGUGGAACUCCUAGUGUAGAGGUGGAAUUCGUAGAUAUUAGGAAGAACACCAGUGGCGAAGGCGGCUUACUGGUCCGGUACUGACGCUGAGGUGCGAAAGCGUGGGGAGCGAACAGG
rnacentral:rRNA from 1 species